GAUGAACGCUGGCGGCGUGCCUAAUACAUGCCAGUCGAGCGAACGGACGAGAAGCUUGCUUCUCUGAUGUUAGCGGCGGACGGGUGAGUAACACGUGGAUAACCUACCUAUAAGACUGGGAUAACUUCGGGAAACCGUAGCUAAUACCGGAUAAUAUUUUGAACCGCAUGGUUCAAAAGUGAAAGACGGUCUUGCUGUCACUUAUAGAUGGAUCCGCGCUGCAUUAGCUAGUUGGUAAGGUAACGGCUUACCAAGGCAACGAUGCAUAGCCGACCUGAGAGGGUGAUCGGCCACACUGGAACUGAGGCACGGUCCAGACUCCUACGGGAGGCAGCAGUAGGGAAUCUUCCGCAAUGGGCGAAAGCCUGACGGAGCAACGCCGCGUGAGUGAUGAAGGUCUUCGGAUCGUAAAACUCUGUUAUUAGGGAAGAACAUAUGUGUAAGUAACUGUGCACAUCUUGACGGUACCUAAUCAGAAAGCCACGGCUAACUACGUG
rnacentral:rRNA from 1 species